UAGGGAAUCUUCCACAAUGGGCGCAAGCCUGAUGGAGCAACACCGCGUGAGUGAAGAAGGGUUUCGGCUCGUAAAGCUCUGUUGUUAAAGAAGAACACGUAUGAGAGUAACUGUUCAUACGUUGACGGUAUUUAACCAGAAAGUCACGGCUAACUACGUGCCAGCAGCCGCUGUAAUACGUAGGUGGCAAGCGUUAUCCGGAUUUAUUGGGCGUAAAGAGAGUGCAGGCGGUUUUCUAAGUCUGAUGUGAAAGCCUUCGGCUUAACCGGAGAAGUGCAUCGGAAACUGGAUAACUUGAGUGCAGAAGAGGGUAGUGGAACUCCAUGUGUAGCGGUGGAAUGCGUAGAUAUAUGGAAGAACACCAGUGGCGAAGGCGGCUACCUGGUCUGCAACUGACGCUGAGACUCGAAAGCAUGGGUAGCGAACAGG
rnacentral:rRNA from 1 species